ensembl:misc_RNA Metazoa_SRP Metazoan signal recognition particle RNA
GCUGGGUGUGGUGGUGCGCACCUGUAUUCUCAGCUACCUGGGAGGCUGAGGCAGGAGAAUCGCUUGAACCUAGGAGGCGGAGGUUGCAGUGAGCCGAGACCAUGCCACUGCACUCCAGCCUGGGUGACAGAGCGAGACUCUGUCUCAA